AACCCAAAUAUAUGCAGGCCCACCCACCUAUGAAUUUCCGGGGAAUUUGCAAUUGCAACUGAAAACGCUCUUGCCAAGUUUGAAUGCGACAACAGUUAAAAAGGACAGAACAUGGACACAAUGCAAUUGGGAUCAAGAAGAAGGCCAUGGAAUGGACAUAGACGAAAAGACCAUUCAAGGACUCCGCAAGGCUAGUCGGAGGUAGCAGAGGUAGAGAGGCGAGGCAGGGAUGAGGACAUCAUUCAGCUAUUUUGGCAAUCCCUGAAGGACAAUACAGAAGAGACACACAUGGGACUCAAGACCACAGCAGCAAUCCUGCUCUUGCCCUACCUCUUCAAUGAGGACCCGAGUGGCCUUUAUGUCCAUGACAAGAUUUCAUCGCUCCCCACUCCUUUACUGCACAUCGGCGGAAAUCCAUUUCACCAUGAGAGUGAAAUCACGCUGGCCUUUUAUGGGAAGAACAUCCACACCCUAGAGGACGUCCCCAUGGGACUCUGGGCUCUGCUAGGGCUGUAUUUUUUUAUUUUCAGUUACAUUACCCCCCCAAAAUUAAGAAAAAUACUUAUGUUCUUAAGUUACUUUUACUGAGCCCUUGGUUCUCUAUGGUGUUGAGGUCAGAGCGUGACUAGAGGGGUGUUCUAGUUUUCAUAUUUCUAUGUUGGUGUGCUUGGUAUGGUUCCCAAUUAGAGGCAGCUGGUAAUCGUUGCCUCUAUUUGGGGAUCAUAUUUAGGUAGCCUUUUUCCUCAUCUGUGUUUUGUGGGAUAUUGUUUGUGUGUGUGCUAGUUGCACCACCUAUGUUACGUUUCGUUAUGUCUUUAUUUGUUUUGUUCCAAGUUUCACAAAAUGAAAUAUGUGGAACUCAGAGCACGCUGCGCCUUAGUCCGUCUCUCCUCACGUUCAUGACAGUUAUAAAGAUGGAAAACUUCCUAAUUUAACUAAGUGGUUGUUGGGCACGAGUACUGCAGGCAAUGUGUUGAUCAAAUCAAAUGAUGUCACAUGUGCUGAAUACAACAGGUACCUUAUAGUGAAAUGCUUACUUACAAGCCCUUAACCAACAAUGCAGUUUUAAGAAAAAUAAGUGUUAAAGUAUUUACUCAAACUGAAGUAAAAAAUUGAAAAAUAACAAAAUGAAGGAGCAGCAAUAAAAUAACAGUAGCAUGGCUAUAUACAAGGGGUACCGGCACAAUGUGAGGGGGCACAUGUUGGUCGAGGUAAUUGAGGUAAUAUGUACAUGUAGGUAGAGGUAAAGUGAUGAUGUUUGAGGCGGCUUAUGGUAGAGAAGUUAACAUUACAUUCUCUGGCAACAGCUCUGGUGGACAUUCCUCCAGUCAACAUGCCAAUUGCACGCUCCCUCAACUAUAGACAUUUGUGGCAUUGUGUUGUGUGACAAAACUACACAUUUUAGAAUGGGCUUUUAUUUCCCCCAGCACAAGGUGCACCUGUGUAAUGAUCAUGGCAUUUAAUCAGCUUCUUGAUAUGCCACACCUGUAGAAAUAUUAUUUUGGUAAAGUAGAAAUGCUUACUAACAGGGAUGUAAACAUUUGCACACAACAUUUUAGAGAAAUAAGCUUUUUGUACAUAUGGAACAUUUCUGGGAUCUUUUAUUUCAGCUCAUGAAACAUGGGACCAACAUGUCGGGUUUAUAUAUUUUUUCACUAUACAUAAGAUUAAAUGGAAGCUUUUCUCCUGGAUCAUUUUGUAAAUAGGGUAGAAUGCACAGAGGUUUGUGUUUUCUGACACCUACAUUAUAAGCUUACCAAGGGCAUUGUGUCCUUGUUAAUGAACCACAUUCUGUAGCAAACUCACUAUCAAUGUAUUAUGACAUUAUCCGCACCGCUUCACAGAAUUUGGUUUUUUCUUGGUUUCUUUGAAAUACCGUCCAUGUUUCAUCUACUGAUAUGUUUCAUUCCAUGUUUCAUCUACUGUCAUUGAGCAAGGCACUUAACCCAAGUUGCUCCUGUAAGUCACUCUGGAUAAGAGUGUCUGCUAAAUGACUAAAAUGUAAACAUUUGUAAAGUUGAUGUGUAUUUAAAACAGGCUGAAUCAAUUAUACCAUAAUAUAUGGCCUUGCCUCUUUUUCUUUAUGCUAAAUACUGUAUGUCAAUUUUGUCCAGAUCACAUGCUCGACUUCAUUUUAUUUACCUCUGAAAAGCAAUGAACCAUAAAUGAACACACAAGGUAACAGGCAUCAGGAUUCAUCAACACAACACACAUAUGACACUCAAAUUACUAGACGUAAUGGAGUGUAUAGCCAUGAUGGAAGCUUGCUGAAUCAUCAUUAUCUGAAUGCCAAAGCACAUUUUGCGAUUAGGGGGGGAUCUAAUUGUACCCAUUAUGACAUGAUCAAUAGUGUGUACUCUCACUGACCUUUCCAGGCUUAGUGUUGGAUCAAACACAGAGAACUCAAUAUCAAUUGGCUUGGUUGGUGACUAUGUAAAGCUUUGACCCACAUACUGUCGCUGGAUAAGCAUGGGAAAGGGAGAAUUCACUAAAAAGAGUUACUCUCAAUCUCAAGUCAAUCCCUAUACCCUUUCACCCUACCUUCUAGGUACA